rnacentral:lncRNA from 1 species
UGGAUCUUGAUUCUGAAUCCGUUUUAAGUCUGAUUUAUUUCAAAUUUUAUUCAUUUUAACCUACAAAUUGAGCUUUUUUUAUUGACGAUCAUAUUUUCUAUAAAAAAUAAAUAAAAAUAUUAAUUUUUAAUAAAUAAAUAUAAAUUAUUGUAUAAAUUAAUACUUUUAUUGAUAUAUUUUCAAUACUCAUCACUAGCCCAUCACCAGACUCAUCAGAGCCCUCCCUCCCCUC